rnacentral:rRNA from 1 species
CCCUUAGAUGUUCUGGGCCGCACGCGCGCUACACUGACGGAGGCAGCGAGCGUGUCCUUCGCCGGCAGGUGCGGGCAAUCUUGCGAGUCUCCGUCGUGCUGGGGAUAGAUGGUUGCAAUUGUCGAUCUUGAACGAGGAAUUCCUAGUAAGCGCGAGUCAUCAGCUCGCGCUGAUUACGUCCCUGCCCUUUGUACACACCGCCCGUCGCUACUACAGAGUGCUCGUGUCCAAGAAACGGUCGGACCUGUGCGGCCUCUCCGGGCGACCGGAGGGCCGUUACGGGGAAGACCCUUUAUUUGACGCGGGUCGAUGAAGUAAAAGUCGUAACA